CGGCGGUGGCCAGAUCCGCCACCACCACAGCGGGCCUUUUGGAUCCACACCGUCAUCGAGCUGGAUCCACGCCUCAUCGUGCGGCCUCGUCUGCCUUCGCGGCUGCGCCACGGGUUUCUACUACGUCGCCCAGUCCAGCGUCGCCGCACGGGACGCGCCUUCUCCAUCGGCCACGUCCUCUGCUACACCUCGGAGAUGGGCUACGUCAACCUCAUCCCCGCGCCCCAGGAGGUCGAGGACCGCAAGGACCGGGAGAUCGAUAAGAUGGAGGGAAACUUUAGCGUCGCUUACGUCAAUCGACGAGAUGGAGAUCGGCUGCACCACGGCAGCGACGGGCCGACGCUAGUGGACUGGGAGCGCAGGUGGCCGAUGCUAGUGGACCGGGAGCCAAGGGCCUGACAUACCUGCACGAGGACUGUAAGUCGUUGGAUGUCUCUAUUGAUUUUGAUGUGAACUUGUAUGACUGAUUGACGAUGCACUGUUGCACUGCAUAACUGGUCCAACGUCUUCUCCUUUGGCCUCAUGCUUUUGGUGAUCAUCACCGGCAAGAGACUGGUCCUCUCCGACGAGCCCGACGAGGUCGACGAGACUCUGGUCUCUUGGGAUCUAUACUAUAAGGACCUGGAGCAUCUAUUCUAAAAUCAUAGCUACAAGUUGUUGCUGUCGAUGGUGCCAUGGUGGUGCACAAUGUCUUUGGACUUCUCUGAGCUGAAGGUUCAUUCAAGAUUAACCAAUGAUUCAUAUUCGCAUAUUCAGAGGAGAGAUACCCAGGUCAAGCUUGCAUGGUCUCUGUUUGUUGUGGCUGCUGACAUGGUCGAUGCUGAACUGGAAUUAACCCUGGUUCCAGCUUAUUUGAACUAUUAUUAUUAUAACAUGUCCUAAUAUCUACCAUUGAACUGGCAACACCAUUGAACUGAUGCUUGCCUACCUAGUGUGCCAGCGCCAGCGCCAUUUCCAUGUCCACUAUUUAUUAUUUGGUAUAUGACGAUGAGCAGAGUGAAGCCUAGUAUUGGUGCUGCACAUAUAGAUUGCUUGCCACUUUGCUACCUGAAACAGAGCCUCGAUUCCAUUUAGACGCUUUUUUGACUCUUUAUUUAUUAGCGGCCUGUGUAAGAACAGAAAACAUAAAGCUCCAAUUAAGUAUGGUAUUUUGUCUUUGUUUCAUGCUCUUUGUAGCUGACGGAUUAGGCUGUGCUUGGAUGGGCCAUGUUAUAGCUUACAGACAGUCUGCGUACUAACUCAGCCUCCAUAUUACAAGUUUAAAAUAAUUUCUGUGUAGUUCACAAACCUGGGACUAAACAUUUCAUUAUUUUUGCUCCUAACGACUUUUAACUGGACUUUCAGUUUCAAUAUGCCACAUCCUUGUAUAAAACUUAACACUGUCAUGCACCUGUUUGCGCGUAUGCCUAUGAUAGGGUUAGGACCUGCCGCACCUUUAGAAUAAAUACAACUGACAGGAUAAUAUUUCUGUUAAAGUGUUAACAUUGAUAUUUCUGAGCCAUCUUAAACAGUGAGGUGGUCCCCUCCUUGCUUGUCGAGAUCGCCCCCAUCUUCCGUGUCGCCAACGAGGCCGAGGCCAGCGACCCACGAGUCGCCUACCUAUGUAAGUAACCACUAUUCUCUUCCUCUUUGCACAUUCAUCCUCUGUUAAUUAUUGUUACCAAGGCACCAAAGCAGAGCAGAUCCUUUUGCUCUGCUCUGCUCUGCUCUGCUCUCUUUGUUAAUUACUGGUCAUGUAUUCUAUUAGCACCAAGUUUGCCUUGCUUGUGGAUUAUAUACUCCCUCCGUUCCAAAUUACUCGUCGUGGUUUUAGUGUAUUAUAUACUCCCUCCGUUCCAAAUUUGAACUAAAACCACGACGAGUAAUUUGGAAUGGAGGGAGUACUUUAUUCUUCUUGCUGGAGUACUAGAAGAGUAGUGCUAUCUUGCUGCUGGUGACACUCCAUGGACUACUCACUGUUAAUUUAUUCCGAGUGGCCAUAAUUCCCUUCCUAGCAGCACCACAGAGUACCACCUGCUCUCUUGUCUCACCCAUAACAACAAUUUACUAGCAGUAUGUGUCUUGGGUACUAUCUAGGCCCCUUCUACUACUACACCUAGUUACUUGUGUGUAUCUUAUUACUUACUAGUUAGCACACAUGUGUAGUAGUACUGUACUAUAUUCUUCUUCCUCUACUACUACAAUAGUACUUGUAGUAGUGGUGGCUUACUGCCGGUGACAGUUUAUCGAGUUUAUUAACUCCAAAUGAAGUGAGCUGGGCGUAAUUCUCUUGAUGCGGUACAUAGUGCUAUCUGUCUCCUUGCCUCACCAACAAAAUGUACUAAUAUGUUUCUUGUGACAUGCUAGGUCGAUUCUACGCCUUCGAGAAACCUGUAGUACUUGUAUCUCUGCAUGUUUGAGCACUCGAGCAGUACUUAAAAAUGGAGUAGCUUAAUUCACUGAAUUUGUUUGUAGUACUAGUUGAUUCACUGAGAAGAUUCAGUAAUGAGUUGAAAAUGUGAUGAUUUAGCUCACUUUCUUAAUGUGAUGUUGCUGCUGCUGUACUCCAUAAAUUACUGAAUAUUUGUUAAAACUCCAAAAAUACAGUAUGUUCUACUGGCCUAUUAGUGUUAGCAGUAUUUUCUACUAGAGUAUUUAGAGAUUCAGUUUCCUACUCCAAAUUUUGUAUGUUUUUGAUGUGAAACGCUUACACAUGACUAAGUGUUAAGUUGAUACAAUUUCGAGUCUGCACUGCUGUAUGUUUUUGAUGUGAAAUACUUAUGCGUGACUAAGUGUUAAGUUGAUACAAUUUCUUUGGUAGACAAGCAUGGAAAUAUGUAUUAACUUUCCUGAAAGUAGGUAAGCAUGACAAUUCUGUUCAAUUCUGAUUUCUUUUGUAGUCAAUUAUGUUCAACUGAUUUUUGAACAUUUUUUAUGUGACUUGUGGCCAGGUACCAGAGGCUGACCAGAUACUCCAUUGACUUCUCUAGCUCCCACAUGUCGCCCCUGGGCUGGAGCGCGCUAGAAAAAUGGCGCCACCACCACCACCACUAUGUCGAC